GAAGCAGGAACCCGGUUCCAGGUUGCUGGGUAAUACCGGGGGCUGUCCCCGCAAGGGGCAGACC
rnacentral:ncRNA from 1 species